UUGGUGCUGGAGGUUAUAUUCUCUUCAGUAGCGGUAGAGCGAGCAGCUUUCGAAUGUCUGCUGUCCCGCAGACAUCCGAGCAGCGGCCAUUGUUAGAUGGGGGGAGGAGAAGAAGACAUUGUGGGAUCUUUUCCCUAGGUCGGCUUCUAGUUCUCUUUCUCAAGAUUUGCUGGUAUUCUAUUUCUUCUUCUCCUUCUACUUGUUCUUGGUCUCCCGGGUGGAUAAUGGUCACAUGUUGUGCUUCUGGUUAUCUUUUUCUCUUUCUUUGUUUAUGUGCCUUCUCUUUUGCUUUUCUUAUUCUUCUUUGUUUCCCAAAUUGGGAGAGCGGCGCUGCUUUUGGGUUCUUUACAUGGCGGCUGUGAUGAUUCUUGCACGAGGGUUUCGCUACAAUUGAGAGGAAAGCAGUUAUUCUCUUGACGGCAAGGCAAUCUUGCAGGCAACUGUUUGCAGCCAUUUUGAUUUAUUAGUUGCAGAUCAAUCGGUGAAUCUGAGCCCCCCUCCAUCUUCCCCUUCUCUGCUUUCAAAUUGCUGGGAUUUUUGUUUUCAAUAUUCUUUUUUACGGUUGUGUUUUCGAGAGAUUUUAAUGUAGAUUUAGGUGGAGAGUGUAGGAAAUGGGGAGAUCUUGGUCAAAGUCUCUCUCCCUCUCUCCCUUUUCUUCAGUAUAUCUUCAAAAGUUUUGAACUUGGUUCAGAUAUUUUAUUUUGUUAACUUUGCUUUAAGUUCUCUCUGGACUUGAAUGAUAGUGAGAUAAUAUUUUGAUCGGUGUUUGUUCAAUCUACAUUUGGUAUUCUUGGUUGUUGGUGGGACUCCGUCUAAUUUGGUUCUGGAGGUUAUGUUCUAUAUUGUUCUGGCAUGUGAAAUGAUCUCUGACGUUCUAAAUCCACGGGAAAUUCUAAACCAUUGAG
rnacentral:lncRNA from 1 species